CACAGCCCCACGCCCCUCACUCCUCCCUCCCUCAUCCGCCGCCUCUCCCUCCCACCUCCUCCUCCUCCUGCGCUGUAGGAGCCCCGCCACCGCCUGCUACUCCUCCACCGCCUCGCCUCUUCCUCCUCCCCGCCUUCCCAUCGCUCGCGUGCAGGCCAUCGUGGCCAUGCGCUUCGCGUUCGAACCCGAUCUCCAACGCCUGCUCCGGGUUCGCGCGGUACGGGCUCCCCUGCAUCCUCCUCCUCGCGGCCGAGGACGACGCCUCCGGAGUAAGCUGCGGCGCUCGAUUCGAUCUGCGGGAGAGAGAGAAGAUGAGAGGGAGAAGAUGGAAGGAGAGGAGGGAGAAAGAGAGAGAGGAAAGAGGAGAAGGAGGCGCGGCGUCGGAUGGGAGAGGGUCACCGCCGGUCGACCGGGAGGACAGAGAUGGCCCUCAUCCCCGCAGUGCUGCCGUCUUCUUGCGCCAGUCAUGGCCUGGACGAACUCACCCGCACCAGCCGAGAUUUCUGCUUCCACAAUGGCUUGGUGUACGAGGUGGCAUGACGUGUGUGUGAGGUAGUGGUGGAUCAUUGGGGGUGAAGCAGGUCUCCUCGACGGGUGCUACAUCUGAGGUUUCACUACGAGAGGAGUUCGCCGACAGCCAUGAGCACCCAGUCAGGCGGUUGGCGCCGACGGUGGUGGGGAUGUCCCCAAGCUUACCAGCCUGCCUCCUUCAUGCGUGGUUGCGUGCAGCCUUGGAUCUCUGAUGCGGAUCUGAAUUUGGAUAGGUUGCCUGCUCAAUCUGUAGAAUUGAUUGAAGAUGAAUCCUGAAGUUGACAAAAAAGGCUUGGGGUAGGGUGUGCACCACCAGACCGGAAGCCGUGUGCUGGUUGGGUUAGUGCAUUCGAGGAAACCUAGCAAUACACUAAUAAUCCUACUGAAAUGUGGUGAAGCCAGCUCACAAAGGAGCGAGAGUGCAAGAGCAUGCUGAAGACAUACAUGCGACAAGCAGUCCAAUGCACACUUUCUCGAGGCAGUACACGAGACUUCAAUUUGACCGUUAGUCGGGCAACAACUAUGAUAAGGAAAUGACAAGGAUUCUAAGUUUUUUUUGGUUUUAAUUUGUUUGGUCAUAAAACUGAAAAUGGUAGACUAAUUAGUAAUGUGAAUGUGUGUCUUAUUAACAGAGUGGAGUGGUGCCAUAGAGCGGCACACAUGCAAGGGUGGGGGUCGGGUCAAGGCUGCUGUUGGCAGCCUGGAUGUAGGCGAUGGUGGCGGCCGGCGGGGGUCUGGCAGACGAGGGAAGGAGCAGCAAGGCUGGUGAUGGGCCAAGUGCCACCAGAGGAGGGUGAAGGGGCGACUUCGUGCUUUGCAACAACAAUUCGUGUCCAUGAAAAAUUUGUGGUGGUGAUGAUUGAUCUAAGUAUCAGAUUGGUUAUAUGGAAAUGGGGCUUUACUUCCGGAGAUGUUCCCAAUGAAGGAGCUUCGAGGCGAGCACUGCAAUGAUGUAGUUUUGUAUAUGGCAUAAUCUGUAGGAACCCUCUCUUAGUUUCUUUUGUUCUUCGUUUCGGUCCUGUUGAUCAAUGCCAAUUAAUCUAGCUAUUUUCAUUGUACCCAAUGCCAAUUAAUCUAGCUAUUUUCGUUGUACCCACGUGCCGAGAUCUGCACACACAGAAUUCGUGCUGAUUUGUUUAGGUGUGGCACGUAUCACAGCUACAACAGCAAUCUGGUAAUUAGUGCUCAAAUAAGGUACUUUUCUUCUCCCCUUUACAUAUCAUGGACAUAUGUGGUGGUUGCUUGACAUUGCUGAAGCGAGGACUCUAAAUGUAUUUUUCUGUUGUCCCUGAUUAUCUUAGUUAGGCCGUAUGUGUUCUGCUGGUCUAUUUUCAUUUGUCUACUUUUAUAGAAUUUCAAAGAUAUAAUUUCCUCUCAUGUAGUUGCCUCAUUCUUCAUAUAUAUACUAAUCCUCUCCUAAAUGAUAGAUGAGGCAGGUGAUCUCUUUUAUUUUCCUUUCUGCAAAUUAGACCAAUAGUAUUUUAGUCAACUUCAGGGUAUGUUAAAUAUGACAGUUAAUGAAGAUGAUCGUUCUUUCUAUUAAGAGUACACAAUCUGACUCAUUUUAAAAUAGCAUCUUAUCUUUAUAAAAACACUAAGCUGCUACUUUAGCAAGUGUUUUACUUCAACAUAGAUUGCUGCAGGAAAGAAAGUUUUUUUUUUUGCAAUAAAGCAAGCAUUGAACGCACUGAAGUGUCCGAAGAAGAAGAGCUUGAAUUUUUUACCAACGUAAAUUUAAGGUAACCUUAUUCAUGCAUAUGUUGUUCCUUUCAGCCAUUUGUAUCUAAAUAUCAAUACUCAUUUUGAACUAUAUGCUCAGGCCGGCCUUUUCGUUUGAUGUUAUUGGUGUGGUAUGUGUAUAAUUAUUAACAUGGUUGCGAUUUUAGUGAUAGCUCGUCACACAUUACAGAAACCUAUUUUCCAUUUUGUGGCUCUAUGCUCAUCUGUGCCUAGGUACAGCUAUAGCAUGGUGAAGGAACACUACAUGCAUUGAAGAAAGAAAGGAAGAAUGAUGGUUAGAACCACUGAGAUACUGAGUCCGGCCAACUAGAUGAGUGUCAGCAGCGUAAUUCUUCAUUGGAAGAGGACAAUAUCAGCCGGUUCAUUGAUCAAAGUGGUGGGAAGCUCCCGAAAACACCCUUUCCAAACAGAAUUUAUUUUUGAGAUCUCUUUAUUUUUCAUCAUUAUGAAGGUUGAUUUUACCUAUUUCACUUGAAUGGUGACCUUCCCACACUCCCAAUUUUUGCUUAGGAUUCUCGUUUAAAUGGUGAGCCCUCAGAUUCUGAAUGUCGGCUCUUUAGUACUGUUUAUUAUUUUAAGAAAAUAUGAGCAAUGUGAUUUUGUUCUCUAGAGACUGGAAUUGAAUAGUAGGUCCUUUUGGUAUUGUCCUCUUACCAUUUGUUCCUAACAGAUGCAUGGGUUUGACUAUGCAUUAUCAUGUGUUUUGUUUCAAAGGUAAUAUGCCCUAAAUCAUUUACUGAACUUUCAGUUCUUUUUUGGAACCAGGCGAGUAUAAACAAUUUGUUAUCUGCCAUCCUAAAUUGUUUCCCAUGCCAUCCAUGUAAGUUUUAGUACCUUUCCAUGUAGGUAGUGGGCGAUCAAGUGUGUGCAUUUCAUGACAUACUUUGUUUUGUUUCAAAGGUAAUAUGCCCUAAAUCAUGUACUGAACUUUCAGUUCUUUUUCGGAACUAGGUGAGAAACAAUUUGUUAUCUGCCAUCCUGAAUUAUUUGCCAUGCCAUCCAUGUAAUUUUUAGUACAUUAUACUUAGUUUGGUGUAUGAGAGUAGUUUGUAACUGAAGGAAGAUUGACGCCAUGGCUGCAACCGGUUCAGUGACUAAGAUUAUUUCAGGAAUAAUGUACAUUUGGUGCUCCCUGCACUUAAUUUUGGACGUUGAAUACUACUCUUGCUUUGACAGCUCACUGAUUUUAUUAGGAAACCUUAUCUGUUAAUACUUUCUUGUCAAACUCAUAACAAGUUAUAAUAAUCAAACUAUAUAGUGAUGUUGAGGGAUUAACCAGGACAAAUGCUAGCCAACGUCCCAUUGAGUAGGCCUUCCCAGGCUCCUUGAGUAGCUGGCUCCACUGGGUACAUAGACGAUUACCUAAUGUGUGGUUUCUUUAAUCACCGAUCGGUUAUUGAGAAUCCGAAUCUGCGAUUAGUAUGCAGUAGUAAAGAGGUUUCUGUUUGCAAAAGAAAGCAAGUUUAUGUACUUUGUCGCCACUGCAAGCAUAGAAAAAUUGUUUAUGUUGUAUUGCUGGGAUAGAUAUGUCUUAUACGUUGUUUUGUUCUUAUAGUCACAGCCGAGAUAUUUGUGGUGCUUGAUUUCUUCCUAUGUAUUUGUUUUCUUUUUCGUGAUUUCCUAUAUAUUUGUUGUAUAAACUCAACCUAAUUAACGUGUGUAAUGAUGAAGCACGUGGGGUGCAGAUGAGGAUGAAAUGAGCCAGGGAGAAAUAUUGCUGGUAGAAAAACAGGCCUCCCAGGCCAUCCUGACCAAAAAUGUAUUCCCUGAUUUGGUUAAACAGUCAUGUAUUGGCCCCUGGCUGCCUCAAGUGGUGGAUGCCGCCGGCUGCCCAAUGACCAUCAACACAUAUGAGCUCGGUUUAAUCAGAGGUGAGGCCUUGCUUCUUCCGCAGUUUUCUUCUCUUCUUUUGUGUGGAUUUGCAUCUUGCAAAAUUGUAAUUUCAUGGUGGGUCAGUUUGGAGGCUUCAUAUUUCACAAUUAUUAUUGUGUGGUACACCCUAGAAUUUGAUUUUAACGCGUGCUUGCGCAUAUUUGGUUAGGAUUAUCAUGCUUGUUUUUAUAUGUAAUUGCUAUGUUUCGAGGCUACUUAUUUUAUUUAACCCAUUAUUUGCCAUUUGAAAAUAAUUUUGGCAUUGACAUUUGCUAAUUACAAAUUCUUAUCAUUGGUUACCGCGUAAUUCUUGCUUGGUUUUUGGUGUGAUUUCAUCUUAGUUUAUACUUGUGUAUGGACCACCCAUGUUUUGUGAAACAAUAGUACACCCAAAAGGAGAAGUUGUUGAGAUGAUAGUCAUGACAGCCUAUAACACAGGCGCGGUGCUUGAAGCUCAUGAGUAAGAAGACAAGAAAAAACCAUUCUAAAGUUGGAGGGAUUCACAGAAAAUGCAUAGGAAAAAAAUCACUAGGAAAUCUACCUUCACUACAUUUUGGAGUGUAGAACAUGGACCAUAUGGGUCCAAGUAGAGAACAUAAAUAUCCACUACUAUUUCUAUUUUCAUCAGUUAAUUUUGAUAUUGUUUCGGACAAUAGAUAACCUAGGCUUCGUAGUUGGUAAUAUUUAUCAGAGUUUUAGUCUAAUGUACUUUUCUGUAGCGGUGCUGCCAUGAAGUUCAGUCUACAAACCUCUGUUGUGUAAACAUAGUGCUGAUCUGCUGAACUAGAAUUAUGGCCCUGCUUACCUGUGGUGCUGCACUUUACAACAAUUCUACUUGUUCUUUCAUAGCCCACCUUAUGUGUGCCAUCUUCUACUCUUCCCUCCGUCUCAGAAUAAGUGACUCAAGUUUAUACUAACUUUAGUACGAAGUUAGUACAAACUUGAGUCACUUAUUAUUGUUCCAUGGUUUUUUAGUUAUUGAUGAUGUCAUAUUUCUUUCUGCCUUUGUAGCUGAAAGAUUAGUGAGACUGACUAAAUUCUGGACAUGUUCCAUGUGAGAGAAAUAGCAUGUUGAUUUCAUCUUGAAAUAAUCAUAGCUGAGGGACGAGGUCCGUAACUGAGGGUCAUGUGCAGAGCUGGAGGAAGAAGUUGCGAGGCUUGGAACUCUGACAGCAGUAAGGACAAUGCCUCUUUAGUUGCAAUUGUGAUACUCCUAAUGUGCAAGUAAACACUCCUGUGACACUUCUUAUGCUAAAAUGUUGGUCGUUAGUACAGAGGUGGUAACAUUAUUUGGUUCUCUUGUAUUGAUUUCAUAAUACAUGAUGUAAUACAAUCCACAUUGCAUUAUAUUUUGAGUUAUAUCUCCUACUUACUCACUACUAACAUUCUUUCUAAUUCGCUUCUUGCGCCAUUGGCACAACCGGGUCAUCUAGUUUAACUUAUAAAGACGCUAGGAUAGCAGCCCCUCUCAGGCCAUGCACGCGGCCAGCAAAAAGACGCUAGGAUAGCAGCCCCUCUCAGGCCAUCCACGCGGCCAGCAAUUGCAAAUUGUGUCCAGUUUCACUUUGUUCCCUGCCUAGCCUCUGUCGCUGACGGGUGGGCCCUAGGGUCAUGGGUCCGUCGACGGGGAGCCUAUAGAGAGUCUCCCCUUUCCUUCCCCAAUCCACUGCCUCCUCUUCCCCUGACCCUCCCCCAAUCCCCGCCUCCUCUCCUCCUUCCCAGUCUGUCGCCUCUGCACCCUGGCCGUCGUCCCUGUCCCCAACUGGGCUGCCCAUGUAUGGCGACUGCUCAGCGCAGCACCACCCCGUCCUCCCUCGUCAGCCGCCGUCGGUCUUCUCGCUGGGAUGGAGGAGUAGGGGAUCCCGCCAGAUCCGACCUGCAGGCAAAUGGCGACGGCGGCGGCGACUGGAAUCCCUCAACGCCGGAGGAAGGCGUGCGACCGGCAAAGAAACCUGGUGAUGGAGCAGGAUGAGGUGGCGGUUCAAGUUCGGCGGCCUUCGCGUGUUGUGGUUGCAGGCGCUCCACUUCCUUUCCCCCCUGCCCUGGUGAGUCGUCCUUGAUCUAAAUAUUUAAUCCCCGCACUGAUUUGUUUUUGUUAUACAGUAUGGGGGUCUGCAGAUUAUCCUUCCAAGGAGGUCACAAAGAGCAGCGACGACUUCUUGGUAAUCUGCGAUUGGCCACAAAGGAUGAGGUACAUGGAGAUUGCCAGCUACCUUCCAUUGGUGUAUAUGCAAGCUACAGAGAAAACCAAAUCUGCACCAUGCCGAUAUGCUUCAUGAUGAGUGUGCUUUUAGCAUCCUUCACCCUCUCAGAUGGCCAUUAGGUGCCGACCAAGAGGUGCAUCCCAUGAAUCAAACUGCAAUGGGGCAUACAAUAAUUAGGAGGGCAUGGCUAUCGCUGCGGAGCUACCCUCCCCCUCAAUCAUGCACUUGUGCUUUUCAAACGCAGUUCGCUGCUGCUGUUUAAUUAGCUCCUGCAUUAGCAGUGGAUUCAGAGUUUAUUCUUCAGCAGAUUCAAUUUGCAGGAGACUCCUGUUGCAGUUUGGUGACAUAGAUAAAAGAGGGCCAGCCACACCUUUGAAAUAAGCAGCGGCCAUCCAGUCCAGAACAGACUGAAUCUGCUCGGCAAAGUGUAAAAAGGAAAUUACUGCUCGGCAAAGUGUAAAAAAGGCCAGGCUAUCAUUUAUGUAGUUAUUUGGAAUGUCAGAUCCAAGAAAUAAGAUGAGAAGAGGAAUCUAGCAAAGGAAGGUGAAUAUUUUCUCUUGUGAAUACAACAAGAGUACAUCUCCUUCUAUAUGUCAAUAUAUCAACAAAACAAGAGAUCUAUAAUAUCAUUGUUUAUGGAGUUCACAGAUUAUUGAAGAUUUUUGCUGCCAUGGAAUUGUGAGUUUGUGACUAUACAUUCUUGUGUCCUACAUGUGAAUUGAAGAUAUAUUGUCUCUGUAUGUGAAUGUAAAUAUCCAGGUAAAUGUGAUGAUUCAUAAAUUAGUCGGUUGGAGAUCGGUAGACAGUCAGGUGUAUUGAUAACUGGAGUUUAGUGCUCAAAAUCCUUCUAACUUUUCCACAGACUGUAUUUUCUUGACAUUUAAGAGAAGAAUGAGUACUGUUAGUCAUUCUCUAUCAUGUAUAAUAGUACAAUAUUGGAGAUGUGAAUGGAAAUGUUCAUUUAGUACAGUAUUAGUAGAUGAUGAUUACUUUUCUUCGCAGUCAA